rnacentral:lncRNA from 1 species
UUGGAGCAGUGGGCAGCAAACUCUUUGGUAUCAGAGAUCUUGAGUAUUCCAGCUCAGCCUGAAAGGAAGGUGUGGAUCUUUGGAUAAUGUGAAGGACAUCUCAGAUCUGAUUUUUUCUCUGGAUGAAGGACUCAAUCUUACACCAGGAUUCACCAGGUGCCAAUUUUGUAAGCCAAUGAACAUCCGUGUUUAGGUACUGCUUUCAAGCCCAUGCAGCAUCUGCAUUUCCAGUGAAAGGCACCAGCAUCUUGCUCUCUUCCAUGGCUAUAGCACUGCUUAAUGGGUUGGAGGUAAAUGUAACAGGGAAGGAAUGAAAAGACGGAUUCUCAAAUGGAUUAAGGUACAGUAAAGCACUGUUUGAAAACCUGAAUAUAGCUUCUCAUUAAUUAACACUACAGCUGUAUGGACAUGGUCAUAAUAAGUGCUGGAAGGAGCACUGUCUUGUAGGGAAAACAGUUCAUGAUUCUUCAAAUAGCUUUCUGUGUAGACUUAAACA